CCUGAGGCCCCUGGACAUUAAUUAGUAAGGGCAGGGCUGGGGCAGGUGGGAGCAUAGAAAGAGCAGAAGCUUUUCACUUUCUUCACAGGUUUCCUUAAGGCUGAGACGGUUCUCCUUCAUAACAAGCUCUGAUUUGGGGUGUGCGUUGGGGAGGAAGAGGAUGGAACCCAAGGUUGUUUCUCCUGAGAACAUCUGAUACACUAAACUGAUCAAUGAAGGGAGGAUUUAUACUAUGGGCCAAAAGAAUCAUUAACUUUUAAGGCAGAUUCCUGGCAGGGUUACUUUAACUGGAGGGCAACCUGGCUUGCCUAUCAAAACCACCGCACUUUUAUCUUGCUGAAGGCAGGGAACAGCCGUGGGCGCCUCUGACCUGCCUUCAACCCCUACAGAAAAUGGCAGAAACACAGACUCCUCUUCCUCGGUGGCCGCCCCAGGCCCCACCACCGCUGGCCCCUCCUGACUCAAGGUCAGUCCCACUCCUGCUGUUGAGAAAACUGCGCAAAUACCCUGCAGAAGGCUUUGCCUGGGUAUGGGCGCCCCCCACCCCAGAACUGUCAUCUGUACUCUCCCAGGGGACACGGCCAGCCGGGGCCCUGCACUACCCAGGUGCUGGGUGAGAGGGCAGACUGCGGCCGAACAAAAUCAUGAAGUCGUGGGGGGCUCAGAACCACGGGAAGGGGCUGCAAUUUUUAAGGCCUGCUGACCAGGAAGGGAGGGGCGUAGGGGAGGAGGAAGGCAUACCAGCUGGGGGAGGGGACUUUGGGGGAAUUUUGGGAAGAAACUAUUGGGUGCCAAGGGAGCACUCGGCCCAGAGGAGUUUGGGAAUAGGGAGAGACUCGCGGAAAAUAAACAGGAAGCAAUCAGGGAGAGCGGUUCGGGGCUGGGGCGACCUGGAGGGGAGCUGGGAACUGGCGCGAUCGGGAAAGAAGCCACUGGAAGCAGGGAGUGCUGCGCGGCUCGGGAGCAAGGAGGCCCCGGAAGGGACGCCACGGCCCGGGCUCUGCGAAUCGGGAGGUUCUUGACACUGUGCAACCACAUCCAAGAAUGAAUGCGACCCUGCGCUUGGUGAAAGGGCAGCUGCUGUGCCCAAGUGCACAACCCCCCGCCCCCGCCGUCAAUUCAGCUGACUUUGGACGGUCCUCCAAUGGUCUCCUGGCUCUCGGAGUUCCCGUCGUGCGUGGCUCAGCGGUUCACGUGCCUGACGCACAUCCCUGAGGAAGUGGGUUCGAUCCCUGGCCUCACUCCGAGGGGAAAGGAUCCGGCGGGGCCGUGAGCUGUGGUGUGGGCCCCAGACACGGCUUGGAUCCCCUGUCGCUGUGGCUGUGCUGGAGGCCGGCAGCUCGGGCUCCGAUGGACGACCACCCCCCCCCCCACCCACCGCCGCCCAGCCUGGGAACGUCCAUGUGCUGCGGGGGGCGGCCCUCAAAAGACAGAAGACAAAAGACAAAAAAAAAAAAAUCGUUUCUCUCUUCUCAGUGAUCGAUGGAUAAUAAUUCACUUUAUUUAUUAAUUUUUGCUUUUUCUUAUUUCCCUAUCAAUAACUACCUUAUCUUUGCAUUUUUACUUAGUUUCAACUUUCUAAACUUUCUAGGCUCUCAACAUGAAUUAAACUAUGCCAUAGAUGAUAUGGAAGAGGAAGAGAAAUUGGACACACAUCCAAAGAGAAAUCAGGAGAGGGGAAGGAGAGCCCAUGUCAGGAGGGGGAGCAGGGGGAUGG
rnacentral:lncRNA from 1 species